rnacentral:rRNA from 1 species
UACAGAGGGUGCGAGCGUUAAUCGGAAUUACUGGGCGUAAAGCGCGCGUAGGCGGCUUUGCAAGUCGGGUGUGAAAUCCCCAGGCUUAACCUGGGAACUGCAUUCGAGACUGCAUUGCUAGAGUAUGGGAGAGGGAAGUGGAAUUUCCGGUGUAGCGGUGAAAUGCGUAGAUAUCGGAAGGAACAUCAGUGGCGAAAGCGACUUCCUGGACCAAUACUGACGCUCAUGUGCGAAAGCGGGGGGAGCAAACAGG